rnacentral:rRNA from 1 species
UUGGUUAAGUUAGAAAGGGCGCACGGUGGAUGCCUUGGCACUAGGAGCCGAAGAAGGACGGGACUAACACCGAUAUGCUUUGGGGAGCUGUACGUAAGCGUUGAUCCAGAGAUUUCCGAAUGGGGGAACCCACUAUCUUUAGUCGGAUAGUAUCCUUACGUGAAUACAUAGCGUGAGGAAGGCAGACCCAGGGAACUGAAACAUCUAAGUACCUGGAGGAAGAGAAAGAAAAAUCGAUUUCCUGAGUAGCGGCGAGCGAAACGGAAAGAGCCCAAACCAAGAAGCUUGCUUCUUGGGGUUGUAGGACACUCUAUACGGAGUUACAAAAGAAAGUUAUAAAUGAAGCGGUCUGGAAAGGCCCGCCAAAGACGGUAACAGCCCGGUAGUUGAAAUGGCUUUCCCUCCAGAGUGGAUCCUGAGUACGGCGGAACACGUGAAAUUCCGUCGGAAUCCGGGAGGACCAUCUCCCAAGGCUAAAUACUCCCUAGUGACCGAUAGUGAACCAGUACCGUGAGGGAAAGGUGAAAAGCACCCCGGAAGGGGAGUGAAACAGUUCCUGAAACCGUGUGCCUACAAGUAGUUAGAGCCCGUUAAUGGGUGAUAGCGUGCCUUUUGUAGAAUGAACCGGCGAGUUACGAUUUGUUGCAAGGUUAAGCGGAAAAAGCGGAGCCGUAGCGAAAGCGAGUCUGAAUAGGGCGCAUAAGUAACAGGUCGUAGACCCGAAACCAGGUGAUCUACCCAUGUCCAGGAUGAAGGUAAGGUAAUACUUACUGGAGGUCCGAACCCACGCACGUUGAAAAGUGCGGGGAUGAGGUGUGGGUAGCGGAGAAAUUCCAAUCGAACUUGGAGAUAGCUGGUUCUCUCCGAAAUAGCUUUAGGGCUAGCCUCGAGGUAAAGAGUCAUGGAGGUAGAGCACUGUUUGGACUAGGGGCCCUUCUCGGGUUACCGAAUUCAGAUAAACUCCGAAUGCCAUGUACUUAUACUCGGGAGUCAGACUGCGAGUGAUAAGAUCCGUAGUCGAAAGGGAAACAGCCCAGACCACCAGUUAAGGUCCCCAAAUAUAUGUUAAGUGGAAAAGGAUGUGGGGUUGCUUAGACAACCAGGAUGUUGGCUUAGAAGCAGCCACCAUUGAAAGAGUGCGUAAUAGCUCACUGGUCGAGUGACCCCGCGCCGAAAAUGUACCGGGGCUAAACAUAUUACCGAAACUGUGGAUGAACCUCUUCGGAGGUUCGUGGUAGGAGAGCGUUCUAAGGGCGGUGAAGUCAGACCGGAAGGACUGGUGGAGCGCUUAGAAGUGAGAAUGCCGGUAUGAGUAGCGAAAGAAGGGUGAGAAUCCCUUCCACCGAAUAUCUAAGGUUUCCUGAGGAAGGCUCGUCCGCUCAGGGUUAGUCGGGACCUAAGCCGAGGCCGAUAGGCGUAGGCGAUGGACAACAGGUAGAGAUUCCUGUACCAGUGCUAAUUGUUUAACCGAUGGGGUGACACAGAAGGAUAGGGAAUCGCACGAAUGGAAAUGUGCGUCCAAGCAGUGAGUGUGAGAAGUAGGCAAAUCCGCUUCUUGCGAAGCAUGAGCUGUGAUGGGGAAGGAAAUUAAGUACGGAAGUUCCUGAUUUCACGCUGUCAAGAAAAGCCUCUAGGAAGAGUAGUACUGCCCGUACCGCAAACCGACACAGGUAGAUGAGGAGAGAAUCCUAAGGUGAGCGAGAGAACUCUCGUUAAGGAACUCGGCAAAAUGACCCCGUAACUUCGGGAGAAGGGGUGCUCUAUUAGGGUGCAAGCCCGAGAGAGCCGCAGUGAAUAGGCCCAGGCGACUGUUUAGCAAAAACACAGGUCUCUGCAAAACCGUAAGGUGACGUAUAGGGGCUGACGCCUGCCCGGUGCUGGAAGGUUAAGAGGAGUGCUUAGCUUCGGCGAAGGUACGAAUUGAAGCCCCAGUAAACGGCGGCCGUAACUAUAACGGUCCUAAGGUAGCGAAAUUCCUUGUCGGGUAAGUUCCGACCCGCACGAAAGGCGCAACGAUCUGGGCACUGUCUCAACGAGAGACUCGGUGAAAUUAUAGUACCUGUGAAGAUGCAGGUUACCCGCGACAGGACGGAAAGACCCCGUGGAGCUUUACUGCAACCUGAUAUGGAAUGUUUGUACCGCUUGUACAGGAUAGGUAGGAGCCGAAGAGACGUGUGCGCUAGCAUACGAGGAGGCAAUGGUGGGAUACUACCCUGGCUGUAUGACCAUUCUAACCCGCCACGCU